AUUGAACGCUGGCGGCAGGCCUAACACAUGCAAGUCGAACGGUAACAGGAAGAAGCUUGCUUCUUUGCUGACGAGUGGCGGACGGGUGAGUAAUGUCUGGGAAACUGCCUGAUGGAGGGGGAUAACUACUGGAAACGGUAGCUAAUACCGCAUAAUGUCGCAAGACCAAAGAGGGGGACCUUCGGGCCUCUUGCCAUCGGAUGUGCCCAGAUGGGAUUAGCUAGUAGGUGGGGUAACGGCUCACCUAGGCGACGAUCCCUAGCUGGUCUGAGAGGAUGACCAGCCACACUGGAACUGAGACACGGUCCAGACUCCUACGGGAGGCAGCAGUGGGGAAUAUUGCACAAUGGGCGCAAGCCUGAUGCAGCUAUGCCGCGUGUAUGAAGAAGGCCUUCGGGUUGUAGAGUACUUUCAGCGGGGAGGAAGGGAGUAAAGUUAAUACCUUUGCUCAUUGACGUUACCCGCAGAAGAAGCACCGGCUAACUCCGUG
rnacentral:rRNA from 1 species